rnacentral:lncRNA from 1 species
CCAUAGACAUGGAAAACAGAUUCAUGGUUGCCAGGAGUUAGGUGAGAAUGAUUUGUGCACGAUGGAUUCAGGAUUUCUAAUUUAUGGGUGUUUAACUAAUGGGUGGAAUAAUUAUUUGGUAUUCUGGAAAAGGAGGGGAUUGCAGGGAGCUGCCUGGUUAUCAUCCCCUUUCUCCCUUGUUUGGGUUUGUCUGGAAGAGUCAUGAACAUGUCACCCUGAGUGGCGUUUUGGCCAUUUUCUCCCUUAUUUUGGGUUUUCUGUUAUCCUGUGAUUUCUUUGCCUAGUUCCUGUUUUUGCUGUUGUUUGGGUUUUUCCAUCCUCCUGCGACCACCCAGUGCUAUUCCUAUCUCAAAAACUGGCGAGAAUGAGGCAUUGAGGAGGUGUUGCUAUUUCUGAUCUGGGAGGAACCUGCAGAGCCUGCUGCUGUGAGGAUGAGGAAGUUGUCUCAGUUUGGCACAAAUGCCUCCAUCCUCUUAUCUGUUGUCCACCACUGAUUUAUCACGUCCCUUUCUCUGUGCACAUGGUCUUGACCUCAGAAUCCUUCUGAAACAUGUUCUAGGCAGCCAGUACCAAGCUAUUGCUAUUAAAGAGUUAAUAUUUGUAUCCUCCAAAAUCCAUAUGUUGAAACCUGAUCCCUAAUGUGAUGAUAUUUAGAGGUAGGGCUUUGAAAGGUGAUUACAUUAGGAAUACAAGAAAAUGACAUUGGAAGAAAAGAAACACAUUUAUCAGUUGUAGAUGACAUGACAAUAUACCUAAAAAUAUAAUAAAUUCAACAGGACAGGUGAGGUACCUCACGUCUGUAAUCCCAGCACUUUGGGAGGCCGAGUCAGGCAGGUCACUUGAGCCGAGAAGUUUGAGACCAGCCUGGCCAACGUGGCAAAACCCCGUCUCUACUAAAAAUACAAAAAUUAGCCGGAUGCGAUGACAAGUGCCUGUAGUCCCAGCUACUUGGGAGGCUGAGGCAGGAGAAUCACUUGAACCUGGGAGGUGCAGAUUGUUGUAAGCUGAGAUCAAAGCCACUGCACUCCAGCCUGGGCAACAGAGCGGGACUCCGUCUCAACAAUAACAACAACCACAACAACAACAAAUUUACAGACUGUUAGACUAUUAAAUUUUUAAAAAUGGCUUUAUAUAAGAUGGAAUACAGAAAUAAGUAUUACUUUCUUUUACUAGCAUUGAACAAUUAGAAAUUAAAAUGGGAAAAAUCACAUUCAAGAUAAUGUCAAAUUAGUUUGUAAAGCAUCUAAGAAUAACUUAAUAAGAGCACUAUAUAUAAGACACAUUGAUAUAUGUGGGUUUAUGUAGUGAAUCUUAUAAUUUUAUGUUGCCUGAACAUGCAUUUUGAACAUUUAACUUUCUCUUAUCAGUAGCAGAGUUAGUCUGUCUUGACAGUUUCCAGUUUUAUCCGAGUAGCUGGUGUUACAGGUGCGUGCCACUAUGCCCGGCUAAUUUUUGUAUAUUUUUAGUAGAGAUGGGGUUUCACCAUGUUGGCCAGGCUAGUCUCAAGCUCCUGACCUGAAGUGGUGGGAAUGUGAAAUGGUGCAGCAGCUAUGGAAAACAGUGCAGAGAUUCCUCAAAGAAUUAAAAAUACAAAACAUCUCGUGUAUCCUAUAAAUAUAUACACCUCUGUACCCACAAAAAUUAAAAAUUAAAAACAGAACUAGCAAGCCUAUUACACAGCAUAUACCCAAAGGAAUUGAAAUCAGGGUCUUGAAGAGUUAUCUGUACUCCCAUGUUCAUAGCAACAUUAUUCACAAUAGCCAGGAAGUGAAAACAACCUAAGUGUCCAUAAAUGGAUGAAUGGAUAAAGAAAAUGUGAUCUGUCUAUCUAUCAUCUAUCUAUCUAUCUAUCUAUCUAUCUAUCUAUAAAAUACAUGACCACUAUUUAGCCUUUAAAAAGAAGGAAAUCAUGCUCUUGCAAUAACAUGGAUGAACCUGGAGGACAUUACAUUAAGCGAAAUAAACCAGACACAGAGGGAAGAAUACUGCAUGAUUCCACUUAUGUGAGGGCUUCUGAAGUAGUCAAACUCAUAGAAUCUGAGAGCAGAAUGGUGAUUGCCAGGUGAUGAGAGGAGGGGAAAUGGGGAGAUGUUGUUCAAAGUGUAUCAAGUUUCAAUUAUGCAACAUGAGUAUGUUCUAGAGAUCUGCUGUGUGACACAGUGGCUAUAGUUAACAAUAUGGAAUUUUGUACUCUAAAAUUUAUUAAGAAGGUAGAUCUCAUGUUAAGUGUUCUUACCACGAAAACAAACAAAACAACAAAGACACACAGGAGACUUUGGGAGGUGUUGGGUAUGAGAGCAGAAGAGUCAGCCCUCAGGGCUGGCUUCCUGGUCUCAGGCUCCACUCUGGCUGCUGGUGGCUUCCUAAGGAGAUCUGAGAUUGGGAACAGGCUGAGAGGGAGGAGGGCUUCUUGUUCCCUUGACCACACAGGAAAUUCCUCAGAGACACGCUUACUCUGUAAUGGGCUCCUCAGAGCCUCUCUCAGAAGGAAAGCCUGGCAGUGAGUGGAGGGCAGCGAGCCAGGGACCAUCUCAUCUUCUCGGCUCAGUUACCUCCCCGGGUACCCAUGUCCAUAUAUGUGAUGUAGAUAAAAUAUCUCCCUUGCAGAGGUGCUUGAUAUUUAAGAGGCCAGCACAUUUUGAAUGGCUUACAAGUGUCAGCUAUUAUUACUAUUUGUGUGUGUGUGUGUGUGUGUGUGUGUGGUUUUUUUGUUUGUUUGUUUGCGAUGGGGUCUUGUUCCUCCCAGGCUGGAAUGCAGUGGUGAGAUCAUAGCUCACUACAGCCUUGAAUUCCUCGGCUCAAGUGAUCCUCCUCCCUCAGCCUCCUGAGUAGCUGGGAUUACAGGUGUACCCCACUGUGCCUGACUAAUUUAUUUUUUAUUUUUUGUAGAGAUGAGAUCUUACUAUGUAGCUUAGGGUGGUCUCAAACUGCUGGGCUCAAGUGAUUCUCCUGCCUCUGCCUCCCAAAGUGUUGGGAUUAUAGACAUCAGCCACCAUGCCCGGCCUACUAUUUGUUUUUGACAACCAAAAUCUUCACACCUUGGCCCUAAAUCUCAAUACAUUUGUCUAGCAAAUGGAAAUAGCAACAAAGGACUAAUCUGUGUCAGCAGAAAUGUUGGCUAUUUCAUUAGAAAUGUGAGUAAACUCAUCCCAGGAGCUAUUUCAAGUUAUGCUGGUGUGAGAGACCUCUGCGGAGUUGUUGCCCAACUCAGA